rnacentral:rRNA from 1 species
AAAUUGAAGAGUUUGAUCAUGGCUCAGAUUGAACGCUGGCGGCAGGCCUAACACAUGCAAGUCGAACGGUAGCACAGAGGAGCUUGCUCCUUGGGUGACGAGUGGCGGACGGGUGAGUAAUGUCUGGGAAACUGCCCGAUGGAGGGGGAUAACUACUGGAAACGGAAGCUAAUACCGCAUAACGUCGCAAGACCAAAGAGGGGGACCUUCGGGCCUCUUGCCAUCGGAUGUGCCCAGAUGGGAUUAGCUAGUAGGUGGGGUAACGGCUCACCUAGGCGACGAUCCCUAGCUGGUCUGAGAGGAUGACCAGCCACACUGGAACUGAGACACGGUCCAGACUCCUACGGGAGGCAGCAGUGGGGAAUAUUGCACAAUGGGCGCAAGCCUGAUGCAGCCAUGCCGCGUGUAUGAAGAAGGCCUUCGGGUUGUAAAGUACUUUCAGCGAGGAGGAAGGCGUUGUGGUUAAUAACCGCAA